rnacentral:ribozyme from 1 species
AAAAAGUGCAAAGAAAAAGAAGAAAUAAAGAAAAAAAAAAAGUACGGAAUUCAACGUCUCGCUGUUUUUUUUUUUGUUUUUUUUUGCGUGUGUGUGUGUGGAGUUCUCUUCACUUCUUCCUCUCGAAAUCCCAUCCAUGAGCACCAUCGAGGACUAAUAAAGAAGACGACGAAACGUUUUUUUUUUUUUUUUUCA